GGGUGCGUCGGCUUUGGGAAAGGAAAAGAGUAAGGACAAUGUGAGGUGACAGAGGGAAGAAGAAAUGGAGAGGACGAUAGAGCUGAGAGAGGAGGAGCAGGUGGAGACGAUCCGUGAUGCCUACAUGGUGGUGGCAGGCGUGCCCAACAAGACCACCUUUCACACGCACUACAUCUGUGACAUGGCUCUGGACAUGCUGAGCUCCAUCGACCACCUUAAAGACCCCUCCACCGGGGAUAACAUCCAGAUCAGAGUCGUGAAAUACAACAGGAAGUGAUGGACAGAGACGGAGGUAAAAUCACCAGAUAAUUCAAGCAGUGCUGUCCAAAGACGACAACGGAUCCACGGCAUGCGUCUGCUGAGAAAAGUAAUCAAAGACUCCGUCUCACCUCGACGUGCUGCUAUCCCUCACACACCUUCAGCUGCCGUUUUGUUCUUCAUUCACGUCGGCCUUCCUUCCCAGCCGUUUGAGUGACAGGUGAGAUUAAGCACCCUUUGAACUCUAUCUGGUUAUUGGAAGAACAGUCUAAAUUGAAGCAGUGUUAUUACAUGCCGCCUUGC